AUACGUAGGGGGCGAGCGUUGUCCGGAAUGAUUGGGCGUAAAGGGCGCGUAGGCGGCCCGGUAAGUCUGGAGUGAAAGUCCUGUUUUUAAGAUGGGAAUUGCUUUGGAUACUGUCGGGCUUGAGUGCAGGAGAGGUAAGUGGAAUUCCCAGUGUAGCGGUGAAAUGCGUAGAGAUUGGGAGGAACACCAGUGGCGAAGGCGACUUACUGGACUGUAACUGACGCUGAGGCGCGAAAGUGUGGGGAGCAAACAGGAUUAGAUACCCUGGUAGUCCGCACUGUAAACGAUGAAUGCUAGGUGUAGGGGGUAUCGACCCCUUCUGUGCCGCAGUCAACACAAUAAGCAUUCCGCCUGGGGAGUACGGCCGCAAGGUUGAAACUCAAAUGAAUUGACGGGG
rnacentral:rRNA from 1 species